AGUGAACGCUGGCGGUAGGCCUAACACAUGCAAGUCGAACGGCAGCACAGGAGAGCUUGCUCUCUGGGUGGCGAGUGGCGGACGGGUGAGGAAUACAUCGGAAUCUACUCUGUCGUGGGGGAUAACGGAGGGAAACUUACGCUAAUACCGCAUACGACCUCCGGGUGAAAGCAGGGGAUCUUCGGACCUUGCGCGAUUGAAUGAGCCGAUGUCGGAGUAGCUAGUUGGCGGGGUAAAGGCCCACCAAGGCGACGAUCCGUAGCUGGUCUGAGAGGAUGAUCAGACACACUGGAACUGAGACACGGUCCAGACUCCUACGGGAGGCAGCAGUGGGGAAUAUUGGACAAUGGGCGCAAGCCUGAUCCAGCCAUACCGCGUGGGUGAAGAAGGCCUUCGGGUUGUAAAGCCCUUUUGUUGGGAAAGAAAUCCAGCUGGCUAAUACCCGGUUGGGAUGACGGUACCCAAAGAAUAAGCACCGGCUAACUUCGUGCCAGCCGCCGCCGUAA
rnacentral:rRNA from 1 species